CUUACUUAAACCAAGAAGUUGUUUUUUGUUUAAAUUGUUUAUCUUUUAAUUUACUCUAUACAAAAUAAUUGAUUUAAAUAAUUUGUAUAUUUAACAAUUUUAAGCAAAACAAAUUUGUUUUAUCAAAUUUUUAAUAAUCUGCUUAUACAAAUUAUAGGAAGGUACUUACUAAAGUGAAUUAUUGAAAUAUAUAUACAUGCUUAUACAUAUUUCAUAUUCAAAAUUAAGAAUAACAUUUUUCAGAACAUUUAUUGAGUAUAUACCAAAUAUUAAUGGGGUUUACUUAUGUACGUUUUAAAAAAAAUAUAUUUAAAAACACAAUAGGCCCAGAAAUAAAGUAUAUGAAAAUCUGGUAAAAUCCGUUAAUCUACAAACUAAAUAAAAAAAAUUUGUUUACAGAAAAAAAAAAUUGUUUAUGGAUCAGGUCCAAAUAUAUUCACAACUUGAUUUGUCCAAAAAAUACAUUUAAGCCCAAUAAUAUAACUGAUUUUAUUCCGGGAAGUAAAAAAAAUGUAUCUAAAGUCAACAACUUGUUUAGUUCUUUGUCGGUGAAAACUGGAUAAACUUUACAAUUUAUUCGUCCCUCUCUCUCUUUUCUUCCAUGGUAUCGAUCAGUUGAGAUUGAUUGUCACGGAUGUUUCUCAAAAUAUGCAUGAUGUUUGCUAUGUCAAUCGCUGUAAGAUUCAAGAUCAAGUACAAACAAAAAGUGGAUAUUCAAAAAAGAAAAAAACAAAAUUAAUCUCCGACUUUGCAACGAUACAAUAAAGAAAGGAAGAAGCUCACAUUAAUACAUGGAAAAGGUGCAAUUAGUGAACCGAAGAAAAGCAAACACGAUUUUGUAUAUUAACAUGAUGUCCAGUUGGAAUUAGUAUUGAAGCCAUAGUAUAAGCAGAGUCAGUCUUGAUAAGUAUAAGUGUAUCUUAAUUUUGUAUUGUUCUUUUAUUAGUAGAUAACCGAAGGUAGUUCGGUUGGUUUACUGUGACGUUGGUUUAGUAUUUAAGUUUAAUGUGACGUUGGUUUAGUUUAAGUACGCUGGUUGCAUUUUAAAUAAGUAGCUUGUAAUAUUAAUGAGAUUUUUGAAAGUGUCUAAAAUUUAAAAGACAACUUGUAAUGGUUGAUUAAAAACAGAAUUCUAUUUUAAUAGAUUAGACUAAAUUUUAAUCCGUGCGAAAUUUGUUUCAUGAUAUAAAUAAAUUUAAAUAUAUAUUUGGCGUGAUCUCUAAUUUUUGUAUGGGUUUUUGGUUCAUUUUCUCUUCAAUGAAGUUAUUAAAAAAAAAGUAUAAGAAAUGAUUAAAAUUUAUAUGAAAAUAAAUACAAAAUACCAGAUGACAAAAAGCACCACAAUCGAAAAAUAGUUUUAAGUUUACAAUAGUCAUAUGUUUUUGUAACACAUCUCGAUGCUAAUAAAUUAUUAAUAAGUAUUUUUCGAAAAUAAUUUUAUUUUCAAGUAUGUGAUCUUAUCUAUUCUAUUAAAAGGGAAGCAGUCUUGAGAAAUCUACCUAUAAAAGUUGUUUGGACUCUUUCCUUUUAUUAUAUUUUGGUCUUUCCCUAUAUAUAAGGUUGUUGGACCUAUCUAUAACAAGUUAUUAUAUUUUUAGUUAUACAAUUAAUUAUUCUAACUAUAUGCGAUUAAUAACUAACUAUGCAUAUUUAUUUUUUUCUGUUACCAUAACAAAAUUAAAACCCUAAUAUAGUGGGAUCACGAUUAUUGUGAUGAAGAAAUCAAAAUAAUAUGUAGCGACUUCUUAAACUAUACGAGAAUACUAUAUUAAACAAGAUCAAUCAUAUUUAAUCCAACUAUGAUUACCAAAUCUAAUGACUCUUAAAUAUACUAACAACUACAAAAA